AAACAGUCGGGAAGAAGCACCGUGGCUGCUAUUAUCUGCUCUCCGCGCCUGACCCCUCCCAGGACUCGUGAUGCCAAGGCCGCUGCGAGCGGCUACGAAGAGUCGGGGUUGAGCCCCAGCUGAGCCGAGGGCUCGCACUCUUCUGGUCUCCCAGGCCCAACCCACCUGAAGAAAUGAGUGGUGGAUUGGCUCCAAGUAAGAGCACAGUGUAUGUAUCCAACUUGCCUUUUUCCCUGACAAACAAUGACUUGUACCGGGUAAGUAAAUCUUAUCGAGUGACUGCUAUUUGAGAUACAGAUAACCUUAAGCAAAUAGUUCUCCCUGGCAAAUUCUUUUUUCCUUUUUUUUUUUUUCUUUUUUUGAGACAGUCUAAUUCUGUCACUGAGGCACGAGGCU
rnacentral:lncRNA from 10 species